AGUGAACGCUGGCGGUAGGCCUAACACAUGCAAGUCGAACGGCAGCACAGUAAGAGCUUGCUCUUACGGGUGGCGAGUGGCGGACGGGUGAGGAAUACAUCGGAAUCUACUUUUUCGUGGGGGAUAACGUAGGGAAACUUACGCUAAUACCGCAUACGACCUACGGGUGAAAGCAGUGGAUCUUCGGACCUUGCGCGAUUGAAUGAGCCGAUGUCGGAUUAGCUAGUUGGCGGGGUAAGGGCACACCAAGGCAACGAUCCGUAGCUGGUCUGAGAGGAUGAUCAGCCACACUGGAACUGAGACACGGUCCAGACUCCUACGGGAGGCAGCAGUGGGGAAUAUUGGACAAUGGGCGCAAGCCUGAUCCAGCCAUACCGCGUGGGUGAAGAAGGCCUUCGGGUUGUAAAGCCCUUUUGUUGGGAAAGAAAAGCAGCAGAUUAAUACCCCGCUGUUCUGACGGUACCCAAAGAAUAAGCAACGGCUAACUUCGUG
rnacentral:rRNA from 1 species